CUGCAUUUCACUCCAUCCUUGGCUACCUUCCCCUUGCUCAUCAGGCUCUCCUCCCAGGCCCUCUUCUUGUUUACUUAUACCCAGACCCAUAAAUAAUAGUGAAAGGUUGCUCGUAGAUACUUGACGUUUUCUCAUACACCAUGAAAAUCGAACCUCCCCCUCUAUGCAGUUACCCCAUCAUGAAAGGUUGCUCGUAGACACUUGACAUUUGCUCACACACCAUGAAAAUCGACCCUCCCCUCUACGCAGUUACCUCAUGAUGAAAGGUUGCUCGUAGAAACGCGACGUUUUCUCGCACACCAUGAAAAUCGAACCUCCCCCUCUACGCAGUUACCCCAUCAUGAAAGGUUGCUCGUAGACACUCAGCGUUUCCUCAUACACCAUGAAAAUCGAACCUCCCCCUCUACGCAGUUACCCCAUCAUGAAAGGUUGCUCGUAGACACUCAGCGUUUCCUCAUACACCAUGAAAAUCGAACCUCCCCCUCUACGCAGUUACCCCAUCAUGAAAGGUUGCUCAUAGACACUCGACAUUUUCUCAUACACCAUGAAAGUCUAACCUCCCCCUCUAUGCAGUUACCCCAUCAUGAAAGGUUGCUCGUAGACACUUGACAUUUGCUCACACACCAUGAAAAUCGACCCUCCCCUCUACGCAGUUACCUCAUGAUGAAAGGUUGCUCGUAGAAACGCGACGUUUUCUCGCACACCAUGAAAAUCGAACCUCCCCCUCUACGCAGUUACCCCAUCAUGAAAGGUUGCUCGUAGACACUCAGCGUUUCCUCAUACACCAUGAAAAUCGAACCUCCCUCUCUACGCAGUUACCCCAUCAUGAAAGGUUGCCCAUAGACACUCGACAUUUUCUCAUAUACCAUGAAAGUCUAACCUCCCCCUCUAUGCAGUUACCCCAUCAUGAAAGGUUGCUCGUAGACACUUGAUGUCUUCUCACACACCAUGAAAAUCGACCCUCCCCUCUACGCAGUUACCUCAUCAUGAAAGGUUGCUCGUAGACACGCAACGCUUUCUCGCACACCAUGAAAAUCGAACCUCCCCCUCUACGCAGUUACCCCAUCAUGAAAAUCUAACCUCCCCCUCUACGCAGUUACCCCAUCAUGAAAGGUUGCUCGUAGACACUCAACGUUUUCUCACACACCAUGAAAAUCGAUCCUCCCCUCUAUGCAGUUACCCCAUCAUGAAAGGUUGCUCGUAGACACUCAAUGUUUUCUCACACACCAUGAAAAUCGAUCCUCCCCUCUAUGCAGUUACCCCAUCAUGAAAGGUUGCUCAUAGACACUAGACGUUUUCUCAUACACCAUGAAAAUCGAACGUCCCCCUCUAUGCAGUCACCCCACCAGUCCCCAUUACAACCUCU
rnacentral:lncRNA from 1 species